GCCGGCAGCCCUCUCCGCCCUCCACUGGUCCUAUCCCUGCCGUUCCUCCAGCACGGCGGCGCCUCUGUCGGCGGCGGAGACGGCCACGGCCACGGCCACGGCCACGAUAGAGGAUGAGAAGGCGGUCGCCGUGCUCACGUGGGACGAUGGAGGACGCCUCGCCAUGGUGCGUGCUCGGGUGAGGGGUAGCGCCCUUCCCGACGGCGGAUGACGAGAAGGUGGCCGCCGUUCUCGCCGCGGCCGUCGAUGCAUAGAGGAGGGGCGGUCAGCACAGAAGCCCAGCUCCAAGAAUGAAGGGGAUCCCCUCCUCACCGCGUUCCCGUCCGCUUCCCUACCCAGCGGACAUCUGGAGGAGGAGGAUAUGCCGUCUCCCUCCUUCCCGUACAUCGAAGGUUAGCUCCACUACACCCAAGAAAAUGCAGGCUCACCGUGCACAACGGCGGAGCAGCAGCCCGCGCCCCUCCUCCCCACCAUGAAACAUCUUCCCUGGGUCGUCAGAUCCGGCCGAGAUCAGAUUCGGAUGUGCUACCACUGGGGCGCAUCCCUUUCUCACGCCCCCACGUCAGCCUCCAUGAUUGUUGCCCUCCUCUUGGCCAUCUUCUCAUGGCUGGCUUCAAAGAUUACACUGGAGGUGGCUUAACUGAAUUCAGAGAAGUUUGGACAUAUACAGUUCCACAAUCAACCAUGUGUAUGUGUUUCAUAAAAUUCCUCAAUGCACUAGCAUCAUUUUUGUUGCAUUGGCUGUUGGUGCAUAACUAAUGAGUCGAUGAUCUUAAUUUUCUAUAAGGCUGAUAAUCCCGACUCUUAUUUUUGACCUUUCUUUACUGUGUAUACCAUGCUAAUUUCAACUGAAUGGACUGCCAAUUUGUCGAUCAGUUUGUGUUAUUUUCACUGAAUUGUUUGUUGAUGUGCGGGAAAAUGUUUGUGGUUGUAGGAUUUUGCUCAUUGGUUCAUUGCUGUCGAUGGAUACUUGCUCCGAGGGUGUGAUCUGCAUCAUCGUCAUGUAAUGUGUCAGUCAUAAGGAUUGUAGUUGUGGCAGUGCAUCGGCGCCAAGGGCAUGUUUCCAUCAGAAUGUUGGAGCAGCUGGCUCAGCCAACCUGAUGAUAGCGUCUCAAAGUGGACUUUUUGAUCAUUUGAUAAAUGUUUGGAAAUUCAAGCCUGGUCCUGUUCUGCAACAUGUGACCUAUUACUUCUUAAUUAAUGGACUUUAAGUUUCAUUCAUCCCUAUAUCGUCAGGUAAUAUAACAAGGUUAUUGUUUAGAUCAUAUAAUCAAGCAUGUCUUCUUUUCGGAAUUUGUGAUUGCCAUGUUUGUUGAAUUAAAGUCCACCUGUCAGAUCAGUUUACACACAUUGAAUUUUACUUAGUGUACCUCUAAGGUUUUACCUUCUGCAAAGGUAUAACACCUACAGAUGAUCCGAUUUUUCUUUUUCUAGAUCCCCAUGUGUGUGUGUGUGUAUGACAUACAUUGUCCUUCUGAUUUAUUUUUCCAGUAGAUGAUUGUGGACAAAGUUUUCCAAUCCAUUCCUUUUUGCUAUACUAAUUUUUGUGGGUGAUGCAACAUAAGUUAUAUAAUUGCUGCACUUAUGUAAUUGAUUUAUCUGGCAAUAGAUUGUCACGAGGAUAGCUCUAACCUAUGUGCCAACAAUCUAAAACAUUGUAGCAUUAUCCUUUACUAAUUUUAAAUGUUUUUGGUGGUUUUUCUCGGAGGUAGCACACUUAGCAUAGCUUUUCAGAAGACAACAGUUCAGUAGGAAGCAGAUGAAUGAAACAUUUUCAUUGUUUUUUUUCUGGUGCAUUUUCAUAGUUUUCUACUCCAUUGUUAUGUACAAACUCACAAGUGGUGCAUAAACGUUUUGUUGUUAUUUAUCCUUUCAUGAGCUGGAUGUGCCAUUGACGGCGGUGGCAAGCUUGGAUUAGUUGGAUUCAGAAGGUGGAGAUGAUGAAUGGUUCCAAGGCUUGGCUGCAGCUAGCUUGAUUUGGAGACAUUCCCUGUUAGGAGUUAAACUUUGGUUGGAGGCAUUGAGCUUUGGCUGUAACAAUCUUUGUUACUUGGUAUACUUCUGUUAGCAUUCACGUGAUCAACUAUCUACCACACUGUUUAAUCUGGGAUUUCCUCCGGUGCCAAAUGUACCAAAUUGUGGUUUGAGUGGAGAUUUGAUCAUUCCUAUAUUGCUAGAUUUAACUUCAAUCUAUGUGUUGCUCUGUAUGUAUCUCUGCAUAAAUGGUUCAUCAUACUAUGAUCUAAUGAAGUGAUUUUAAUUCUGA